rnacentral:rRNA from 1 species
GACGAACGCUGGCGGCGUGCUUAACACAUGCAAGUCGUACGGUAAGGCCCUUUCGGGGGUACACGAGUGGCGAACGGGUGCGUAACACGUGAGUAACCUGCCCACAACUUUGGGAUAACGCUAGGAAACUGGUGCUAAUACUGGAUAUGUGCUCCUGCUUCAUGGUGGGGGUUGGAAAGCUCCGGCGGUUGUGGAUGGACUUGCGGCCUAUCAGCUUGUUGGUGGGGUAGUGGCCUACCAAGGCGGCGACGGGUAGCCGGCCUGAGAGGGUGACCGGCCACAUUGGGACUGAGAUACGGCCCAGACUCCUACGGGAGGCAGCAGUGGGGAAUAUUGCACAAUGGGCGCAAGCCUGAUGCAGCAACGCCGCGUGCGGGAUGACGGCCUUCGGGUUGUAAACCGCUUUCAGCAGGGACGAAGCUUUUUGUGACGGAACCUGCAGAAGAAGCACCGGCAAACUACGU